UAUUGCACAAUGGGGGAAACCCUGAUGCAGCGACGCCGCGUGAGUGAGGAAGUAUUUCGGUAUGUAAAGCUCUAUCAGCAGGGAAGAAAAUGACGGUACCUGACCAAGAAGCCCCGGCUAACUACGUGCCAGCAGCCGCGGUAAUACGUAGGGGGCAAGCGUUAUCCGGAUUUACUGGGUGUAAAGGGAGCGUAGGCGGCUGUGUAAGCCAGAAGUGAAAGCCCGAGGCUCAACCACGGGACUGCUUUUGGAACUACAUGGCUUGAUUGCAGGAGAGGCAAGUGGAAUUCCUAGUGUAGCGGUGAAAUGCGUAGAUAUUAGGAGGAACACCAGUGGCGAAGGCGGCUUGCUGGACUGUAAAUGACGCUGAGACUCGAAAGCGUGGGGAGCAAACAGGA
rnacentral:rRNA from 1 species